GAUGAAACACCGCCAUCUACCGGACAUGCGUAUAAACGACACCUACAGGAUCCUUACUAGCUUGUUUACACCACGAGAGAUUCAACUGGCAAAAUUCCCUUUACGACGUACUAAUGAGAAAAAAAGCCAUUUGGACGAUGAGAAGCGCGUGUUCCGCUGCUCUGUCACUGGGGCCGGUGCGAGGGGCACUGCAGGGGCGCUGGACAAUUACCACAAGUCACACGGCAUCACCUCAAUCAGAAGUGGCCUGGAGCGGCACACUUUCCUGUGGCUCUAUUUCUGGGAUGGUGCAAUAAAAGGUAGAUUGAAUUGGUCGUAGAAUGGAGGUUCCUGCCGUAAACCACAGCUAUACACAUCCACAGCCAUGGGCCGGACAGAGUCCCAGGACCCCAACCAUACCUCCACCCAGCUGUCCAUUUCCUUCAUAUCACUAUCCAAACCUGAACCCAGAUCAGCAGAGUGUGACCCCCAUGACCCAAACGACAGGAACCGCAGCAGGCCAUCGGCCUCAGUCACUGCAAAGCUACCAAGGAGUGUUCAAGCCUGUUCCUGAGAUUACAAAUAAGACGAAUCAAGGAAUGCCACAGAGAAGCUACUCAUUACCAACGAGUCCAGUGUCAAAUUCUAAGACAGAGUCUCGAUACGGCCUGGAUCCUCAGCUUCUGCCCAGUGUGGUAAAUGAGCCGGCCCUCUUAUUCUGUAAUGUUUCCAUCAAGACAGCUCAGGUUUGAUUGCACUGUUGUGCAUGGCUGUGUUAUUUUGUCUCAGUGUCUAAAUGUCUCUUAAAUGUUCAGGUCCAGGUGAUUAAAGAGGACAGGAUCCAGUGGGAGGGGAAAGUGUUUGUUUCAGAAUGCAAAUCUUCAGUUCCCCUUCUUCCUGGGCAGAGUUCUACAGGAAAUGUCACUUUUCAACCCUGAGUCGGAUGGAUCCGGCUCACAAGAGCUUUCUGUUUCUGCAGGGCUGAAGAUUCUUCAGGCAAGAGCCUUAAUAUGAGUCUUAAACAUGCACAUGCCCUUGGAUAGUGCUACUA
rnacentral:lncRNA from 1 species